UACGGGGGGAGCAAGCGUUGUUCGGAUUUACUGGGCGUAAAGGGCGGGUAGGCGGCCACUGCAAGUCGGUUGUGAAAUCUCCGGGCUUAACCCGGAAAGGUCAACCGAUACUGCAGGGCUAGAGUGCAGAAGGGGCAACUGGAAUUCUCGGUGUAGCGGUGAAAUGCGUAGAUAUCAAGAGGAACACCUGAGGUGAAGACGGGUUGCUGGGCUGACACUGACGCUGAGGCGCGAAAGCUAGGGUAGCAAACGGG
rnacentral:rRNA from 1 species